AGCUCCAAUAGCGUAUAUUAAAGUUGUUGCAGUUAAAAGCUCGUAGUUGAACUUCUGGCGGCUACAUGCGCUGGCUACUAGUCGCGUAUGGAGUCGUCAUCCGCCCGAGAACCAAAACCGUCAUUCAUUUGUCGAUUUGGGGAUCUGGCUCUUUACUUUGAAAAAAAUUAGAGUGUUCAAGGCAGGCAAUCGCCCUGAAUGCACAAGCAUGGAAUAAUGGAAUAGGACUAUGGUUCAUUUUAUUGGUUAAUGAACCUUAGUAAUGAUUAAUAGGGACAGUUGGGGGCAUUAGUAUUUAAUUGUC
rnacentral:rRNA from 1 species